UACGGAGGGUGCGAGCGUUUGUCCGGAAUCACUGGGCGUAAAGGGCGCGUAGGCGGCCUGUUAAGUCGAACGUGAAAUCCCGGGCUCAACCCGGGAACUGCGUCCGAUACUGGCAGGCUUGAAUCCGGGAGAGGGAUGUGGAAUUCCAGGUGUAGCGGUGAAAUGCGUAGAUAUCUGGAGGAACACCGAUGGCGAAGGCGGCAUCCUGGACCGGCAUUGACGCUGAGGCGCGAAAGCCAGGG
rnacentral:rRNA from 1 species